UCUUAAAUUAAAGAGGGCAUUGAUGGAGGUCACCUCCAUAAACUGCAGUCUGGUGUUGCAGGUAUCGAGAGCAUAUAGAAUACCAUUGUUUCUUUAACUUGCACUGAAUUUUUAGAAGUAUUUUCAUUUUCAGACUGAAAAUAAAAUAAUGUCAGACAAUGUUGCAUGAAAUUGCAUCUCUGGUGCUGCCUCCAGUGAAAGCCUAUCAUCUAACUUCACCUCUGUGCAUCUGCUCACGAUAAUGCAUUUAGAAAUCACGGAUGUUUUGCUUUUUUCAGUCUUGGAAGCAAGUGACCUGGAUUCACUUUUAAGAAUAUGAUUUGCAGACUUGUUGACUGAGAUUCUUCAUUUGGAGGAUGAGUUGAUUUGUCCAUAUAAAUCCCCUGUGUCAAAUGUAAUAGAUGGAUAAAGUGACCCCUUGCCUUCCAUAUAAAAAUUCAUAGUCCUUAAAAAAUAUGUAAUUUGAGGGGGGGGAAGUAUGAGAGGGUUUCACAUCUUUAAGAAACCAAACAAAUUCCAAACUGAAUAAAAGAGACAGACAGAGAAGGUUGCCUUUCUGCAAGCCGCCAGCUUUCCCAAGUGUCUCAUCCUCUCCCCUCUGUCAUCCUGAGGCAAUGUGCCUGCAUUUGUGUGUAGAUUUAUAGUUUAUCUUUAUCUAUGGCUUCAUCUGUAGGUAGCUAUUAUAGCCGCCUUGCCUGGAUAUUGUUUGGGCCUGAUAGAUCUGAUCGGAAGAACAC